AUGCAAAAGGAAAGCAACAUACGGGCGGUUCCUGAACAAUCACUUUCAAGUCACGUUAACUUGGCAGCUGCAAUUACGAAGGCUACGGAAAGAUGUCACGGAUGAAACCAACGCUGUAUUUGGUGUCUAUUCCAAAUGUCCAUAUACACGAUGAUGGCUGUUCCGGUGAAGUGUUGUUAGCGAUAGGAACGAAGAUAACGAUAUGCUUAAUGAGGUGAUUUGCGCGGAAGAUUUACAAUGUAGAGUCCAGUAAAAGCAGUUCAAUACCAACAGAAAACCAUCCGAAAUUCGGAUUCGAUCAUCGAACCCAUCUACUAGCGCGAAUUUCGAGCUACAUAUCAUCAACAUAUUGGCGAAAAUUAUUAAAAA